AUCAACACAACAGUUUUUUUUAUUCCGGCUAACACGUUCGAAAUCAGAUAUCAUUUCAGCGUUAUUUUCAGCCGUAAAAAGGUUUAAUCCAUUUGAACAUUAACUUUUUUUUUCUGGCUAACACGCGCAGCGAAAUCGGGUAUCAUCCCAGGAGAUAUCUAUAUUAAGCGGAUUCCAUCACGGAACAUAGUUCUUUAUAUGGGAAAGGAUAAGG